ensembl:lncRNA
GAUUUUACAUUGACCACAGACAUAAGUAGACCACUCACGAUAAACAGGGCUAGCAUCAGUAGCGUGUUCCUCAGACCUCUAAAAGUCGCUCAUGGAUAUGGAGAUAUCUCACCAGUCAGAGCCCUGAUGCUGACCCCAGAGCUGCUGUGCGCCUGCUCCUCGGUGUAGAGGGUGAAGUUGUACCACCUGGCGGGGUCCAGACCUUCAACAGUGUAGCUCAUGAUCCCAGCAGGACCUCCUAUUAUGGUCCUACUGUUCUCCUCAAACCGCAGGGUGUAGUUGAAGCUGUUGAGGGAGGGGUUCACACCUCCCUCAACAGCUGGCACACUCCAAUUCAGGGUGAUGCUCGACUCCGUUUGGUUCACGGCUGUGAAUUGCUCUGCAUUUGGAAUAACUGAGAGAGAACCAGGCAGUCAAUAAAGACAGUCAGUCAACAUUAGUUACAGUCAGUCUACCAAAGUGAGUCAGUCAAUAGUGGUUAGUUAGUCAAUAGUUCCAGUCAGUUAUCCAUAGUUCGUCAGUCAAUAGUUAGUCAGUCAACAAUAGUUACAGUCAGUCACCAAUAGUUAGUUGGUCAAUAGUUACAUUAGUCAGUCAAUAGUUACAGUCACAGGCUAUAUUAAAUAAAGUAAAUCCUAAAUAUUAGAUCUACUUGGAGCUGGAGUUGUUGGUGUGUUUGUCGUGGACACCGGCGUUGUUUCCGUGGUUUCAGACGUUGCGGUCCUUGGCUCCCCAGUGGCCACAGAUCUGGGGCCUAAUACAUCCUGCGUCAGUACAGAUGGUGACGUCUCCGUGGAGACAGGCGUUGGGGAAGUAGGUGUUGUUGUCAUGGAAACCGAUUGUGUAGAUGCGGUAGAGGGAGUCUGGGUUCCUGUGGUGACCGAUGCCGUUUGAGGUGUUGUUCCCACGUACGAAGAGGGUUCGGACACAGAGGGUGUAUGUGUUGUCACGGAGACUGGCGGUAGAGCGGUCGUAGGCGUUGCCAUGGACACUGACGAUGUAGGGGCUGCACGGUCGCCACUCGCUGGCAGGGAAGUGGAUGUGGGGGUUGUGGUGAGACCAUGACCCUUCACGGUGGAGCUCACACAGAGCAGCAGCAGCAGCAGCCCCCCUGCGCCCCCCCCCCCCCUGCUGGGGCCCAUGUCCUGUCCGCCGGGCUCCCGGGGCCUCCAGGUGGGUGCUACAGGUUAGCUCCUCAUAGCGUCCGGAAUAGAGCUGCGGUCUGACUCGAUGCUUCCCUCCUCGCCGCUCAGAGACUACUGCUCUCCGCUCAGCUCCAUCUCGACCUUUA